AGAAAGGCAAUGCAAUUUCAAAAUUUUCUUAUUCCAUUUUCAUUCUUUUUCUUUCAGAUAUAAAUUUUCUCUUAUCCUCAUUUAUCGCUUCUCUACCAAAAUUACUGUAAUUACAUAACCUUCCCAUUCUUUUUGUUCUCCUCUUCGAUUUCCGGCGAGACUCGCCGUCAACACCGCUACCACCGUCGUGGCUUCAUCCCUCCAUAUAUCAGCUGCUCACUCUCCUUCAAACAGCACCACCUUCCACCGUCUUUUCCCUUUCAUUUGUUCCCUCGGCCGGAUUGUCAAGACGAAGUGUCGUUGCUGUUGCGCCUCCCUGUUUUCUCUUUUCCCUUUCUGUGAAUGACCAUGUAUUGUUGUUGCACAUGUAGCGCUGGAGUCCCUCGUUCUCGGCUUGGCUGACUGCAUCAGACCCCAUCGCCCAGCAGCCUCAAUUACUUCUCUCUUAAAUCUGGCGACAACAAUAACCGAGUAUCGUCUUCGCCUUCUAUCUGGCUCCAUUUUUUGUGAACCAUUAACAAUUUAGCAAGCAGCUAUCAGCUGCAGCCGUUUGUCCUUCGCCACCGGACAGCCGAAUUGCAGGAUCGUUAUGGCACGACCGUCGUAGCCACCAUCUCUCCACCACCCCAAGAUACUAGACUCGACAGACUCAAAACAUGGAGCAAAUGGAAAAGCCACCAUGUUUUGCUUCACUUUCUUAUUUUUCUCAUCUAUUUGCUUUUCCACUUUAACGAAUGUGAUGUUCAUUGUCUCAACACACAUCCACAAAUUCACAGACAGCUCCGAUUGAUUUGAUCAAAUUACGAAAAUUAUAUGUAUAAUUUUUUUACAGAUGAAUGGGUG
rnacentral:lncRNA from 1 species